UGGCGACCAUAGCAAGAGUGAACCACCUGAUCCCUUCCCGAACUCAGAAGUGAAACCUCUUAGCGCUGAUGGUAGUGUGGGAUUACACAUGUGAGAGUAAGUCAUCGCCAGCUC
rnacentral:rRNA from 1 species